rnacentral:rRNA from 1 species
UCACACGGGACUGCCGGUCUAAGCGGAGGAAGGUGGGAUGAUGUCAAGUCAGCAUGGCCUUUAUAUCCUGGGCUACACACACGCUACAAUGGCCAACACAAUAGGUUGCUAAGCCGCGAGGUGGCGCCAAUCCAUAAAGUUGGUCUCAGUUCAGAUUGUAGGCUGCAACCCGCCUGCAUGAAGAUGGAGUUGCUAGUAACCGCAGGUCAGCUAUACUGCGGUGAAUACCGGUUCCCGGGGCUU